ACUUAGUUAUUGUUGCGCUAGG
rnacentral:miRNA from 1 species